rnacentral:sRNA from 1 species
UCGAUUAACGGAGAAACAGCGAGAGGCUACUCGCCUUCUCGCCGGCCCGGCGCGCAACAUCAU